GACACGACUCUCGGCAAUGGAUAUCUCGGCUCUCGCAUCGAUGAAGAGCGCAGCGAAAU
rnacentral:rRNA from 2 species